AGGAGAAACAACCAUGGUGGCAGCGGCAGCUCUGGAAACCUGGAUUCAGCCCCCACAGGAACUCUGAAGCACUCCACCUGCAGCACCUGGAGGCUCCGGGGGGCG
rnacentral:pre_miRNA from 1 species